UACGGGAGGCAGCAGUGGGGAAUAUUGCACAAUGGGCGCAAGCCUGAUGCAGCCAUGCCGCGUGUAUGAAGAAGGCCUUCGGGUUGUAAAGUACUUUUCAGUCGUGAGGAAGGUGUUAAGGUUAAUAACCUUAGCAAUUGACGUUAGCGACAGAAGAAGCACCGGCUAACUCCGUGCCAGCAGCCGCGGUAAUACGGAGGGUGCGAGCGUUAAUCGGAAUUACUGGGCGUAAAGGGCACGCAGGCGGUUAAUUAAGUUGGAUGUGAAAUCCCCGGGCUUAACCUGGGAAUGGCAUUCAAGACUGGUUAGCUAGAGUCUUGUAGAGGGGGUAGAAUUCCAUGUGUAGCGGUGAAAUGCGUAGAGAUGUGGAGGAAUACCGGUGGCGAAGGCGGCCCCUGGACAAAGACUGACGCUCAUGUGCGAAAGCGUGGGGAGCAAAC
rnacentral:rRNA from 1 species